AUUUUCCUAGCGUAUCCUUGUUGUUGUCACUGCUUGUACAGAACUUUUUAGUUUUUAUGAGUCAAACCUGUCGUCUUCCUGUUGUUUUCAGGGUUUGGGUCCUGCUCAGAAGGCCUCCCUGCUGUGACACGUUAAGAACGACUUAGUGUCUCCCCACUGAAGUCCCCCUCCCCCGUAAUUAGAGCCUGUGGCUGUUUGGCUUGAAGGUACAAAGAGCUCAUCCGCUCCAUGAAGGCAGUGAGGUGUGAAGACACCGUCGGGAGAGAAAGGAGCCAGUUUCUCUAACACCUGUUGCCAUCCUCAAGCUGUCACAACAAAUCCCAACAACAGGGUGCCGGGCACGUGCCCUGCCCCCUCCAGGCAUGAGCGCUCCGGGACAAGGUCCCCUCCUACCUGCGCGAGUGCGGGACCUCGCCAGUGCCGCCGACACGCUGGUGGUGCCCCUGAGCAGCCUGGCCCGCUGUACCCGCGCCUGCCACUCCCAGCAGCUCCUGAAGAUGUUCUGGACAGGUGGUGUCCCCGUGGGGAACGACCACCUUGGUGCUGACCGGUGGGCGGUCGGCGUAGAUGCUGCUGCAUGUGGCUAACGGCAUCCCGCAGGAGCUGAGGGCGCACAUGCUACCCUCCCUGCCCUCCAGCUUCUUCCACGGCGAGGUGGGUCUGCGUGGGGCCUCUCCUCCAGCCUGCCAUCUGAUCUCCCCAUGGCCAUGGUCCCUCGCUCUGCGGGCUGGGCGGCCUCACUCUCCACUUUGCCUUUUCUUGGGCACCGCUCAGCACCUGUGGGGAGGACUGCUCGGGCCUGGUCUCGUUGGCGGCAGCUGGAGCACUGCCCUCACCACCAUCUGCCCGCCAGCUGGGCCUCAACGCCUGCGUGCUCCUCUGUGUCCAAGCCACUCUCCACAUGCUGCCCACAGGGCUGCCCUGCACACACCCCUGCUGGACAUCACCCUUGCCUUUAGGGUGAGGCCGGCGACUGGGUGCUGGGGGCGCCAGAAGAGCGUCGUCCUCUAAAGCGUCUCUUUCACUUGCUCCGUAGGAAAACUGGGUGCUGAAGCUGUUUCUAGAAGGCCUCUUGCACAAAACCGCCAUCCUCCUGGAUGUGGUGGGCAUGAUUAUGCAGGACCCAAGCAACCGACCAGGAGCCCGCCCUGCGUGAGUCCUGAUGCUCUCGGCCGCCAGCCGCGCAGUCACAGCGUGAGGCCACUCCUUGGCCCAGCUCCUGGUUCAGGCGACAGUCCUGGCCCCAGCAGGCAGGUCUGCGCCGGUCUCCUCUGAUAAAGCAGCAGAGAGCAAGCUGCUCCCAGAACCAGCAGACAGCUGGCCAUGCCUGCCCUGGCCGGCAUUGCUCCACCUCAUCAGAGGACGGUGUGUGCAGUCAGCUGCAAAGCCCAGAAUGCAAGGGGCCCUCCCUGCUCACAGACCCCCACCAGCGCCGCCUGGCUCUCAGAGGGGAUUCUCAGCAGUCACUGCCCAGAGCUGGGUGCCACUCCAUGUCAGGAGGAGGCUGGGAGCCCGGGUAGGGCCCUGCCUUUGCAUCUAUGGGCCGGAUGCCGGGGCCACGGCAUGCUGGGCAAGGAGACUCGGUCCCCGCCACAAGCAUCCGUCCCCCUCGCCACCCUUAAGGUGCAUAUGCCUUUAAAGAUGCAAACCAGUAGACUCAGUGGCGACACACCGGGCCCUCUGAGUGGCACAGGCCUUAUCAGGAGGGGACCCCGCAUAGCCUGUGGACACAGUGAGACCAGAGCCAGCCACGUGCUGGAAUGUUUCAUGCUUGUGCAGGUGGUAGGCCCUGGGCCCUGACUACAUGAGUGAGCUGCUGUGCCUGUCCCUGAGCUUCGAGGGUCCAGAAACGCAGCCCUUCAGCCUCUUCCUGUCCCACGUGGUGGCAGAAACCUGAGUGGUGUCCCUGGGCAAAGUCGCUCAACCUUCAUUGUCUCUAAAACCUUCAGGAGGCCGCACCUCGGCCACAAACCACCUGUAGCUGAGCAGAUUCGUGUCUGUCGUUUCCCUGGGAAGACACUGGAAUGCCCAGGUCGGCCGGCCAGGGGAGCGGCAUCCGGACUCCCCAAGACAGCCGGCCCUCGGGAGGUGCUGGGGCUGCCUCCUGGGGAAGAGACAGGCAGGGCUGGCGGUGCCCCGCCUGCCAGCGUGUGUUCAUGGGUUCAUGUGACCUCAGGUGCGGCUGGAGCCCCGACAGCUGUCAGGAUGCACCACGUUAACCAAGGCCGGUUCCCCAAGACCAGGGCCGUCCGCCCACGACACCCCUGGAGUCAUUCUUUGUGUUUUUGCACACAUGAGUCUAAGAGCCUAAAUUAUUUUUGGAAAUCAUUUUCAAACUUUCAAAGAUUAUGUAAAAGCUAUCUGGUUUUUUGAGCAAUGUUUAACUGAGUGAAGUAAAAAGUUUCUUUGGUAUUUUUUCAGUGCCCAUGUUCACCUCUGCUGGUUUUGAUUCCAGGGAUGGGGAACAAGUCGGUACGUCCCCCUGCAGCCACCAGGCCCAUUUGUUGUCACUGUGCCUCAGGGCGGGGGUGGCAUGCAGCCUCUUGUUGCCCC
rnacentral:lncRNA from 1 species